GCUAAUACCGCAUACGCCCCACGGGGGAAAGCAGGGGACCUUCGGGCCUUGCGCGAUUGGAUGAACCCAGGUGGGAUUAGCUAGUUGGUGAGGUAACGGCUCACCAAGGCGACGAUCCCUAGCUGGUCUGAGAGGAUGAUCAGCCACACUGGAACUGAGACACGGUCCAGACUCCUACGGGAGGCAGCAGUGGGGAAUAUUGCACAAUGGGGGAAACCCUGAUGCAGCCAUGCCGCGUGUGUGAAGAAGGCCUUCGGGUUGUAAAGCACUUUCAGCGAGGAGGAGGUCAGUAGCAUAUCUGCGCCUGUGACGUUCGCAGAAGAAGCACCGGCUAACUCCGUGCCAGCAGCCCCGGUAAUACGGAGGGUGCAAGCCGUUAAUCCGGAGUUUACUGGGCGUAAAGCGCACGCAGGCGGUUUGGGUAAGUUAGAUGUGAAAGCCCCCGGGGCUCAACCUGGGAAUUGCAUUUAAAACUUGUCCAGCUAGAGUCUUGUAGAGGGGGGUAGAAUUCCAGGUGUGGCGGUGAAUG
rnacentral:rRNA from 1 species